CAUAUGUUUGAUUUAGAAGUCAUCACAUACAUUCUUGGUGGUCUUGAUUUUGAGUUUGAUCCUUUAGUCACCUCUCUCACCACAAUAACAAAAAUCGUUAACUCUAGAAGAUGUUUAUGGUCAUUUACUUACAUGAGAUG